rnacentral:tRNA from 1 species
GGAGGGGUGUCAGAGUGGUCGAAUGUGCCUGUCUCGAAAACAGGUGUCCCGCAAGGGACCGUAGGUUCAAAUCCUAUCCCCUCUGCCA